rnacentral:misc_RNA from 1 species
UUGUGGAGGAGGACGCCGAAGGUGGGGCUAAUGACUGGGGUGAAGUCGUAACAAGGUAGUCGUACCGGAAGGUGCGGCUGGAUCACCUCCUAACAGGGAGACAACAAAAUGUUUAAUAUUAUUAUUUUGUCACCUUAGGUCGAUCGGUAUCUCACGUUUUUAAUUUAUUAAGAAUUUCAUUUCCUAAGUUUUUCUAGGUCACACCCAUUAUUUUCCUGGGCCAUUAGCUCAGGUGGUUAGAGCGCACCCCUGAUAAGGGUGAGGUCCCUGGUUCAAGUCCAGGAUGGCCCAUAUCUCUAUGUUGGGGGUAUAGCUCAGUUGGUAGGGCGCCUGCUUUGCAAGCAGGAUGUCAGCGGUUCGAGUCCGCUUACCUCCACUGAUUACCACCUCUCCCAUAAAAUGUAGAAAGGAAAAUUAAUGAGUUGUGAUCAAAAUUCUGAACGAAUCUAGCUUCCUAAUGAAACUAUUAAGAUGCUGGACUCAUUGAAUUAAUUUCAUUGUUUUCAGAGAACCUUGACAACUGCAUAGAUUAUUUUUAAAGACAAUAAGCAUCUUUGAUGAUGCAGAUUUAUUAUUUGUGCAAAUGCAUUAAUAACAAUUCUAUUAAGCUGAUGCUUCAAUUAUGAAGUUAUUGGUCAAGCUACAA